rnacentral:rRNA from 1 species
UACGUAGGGUGCGAGCGUUGUCCGGAAUUAUUGGGCGUAAAGGGCUCGUAGGCGGUCUGUCACGUCGGGAGUGAAAACUCGGGGCUUAACCCCGAGCUUGCUUCCGAUACGGGCAGACUAGAGGUAUGCAGGGGAGAACGGAAUUCCUGGUGUAGCGGUGAAAUGCGCAGAUAUCAGGAGGAACACCGGUGGCGAAGGCGGUUCUCUGGGCAUUACCUGACGCUGAGGAGCGAAAGUGUGGGGAGCGAACAGG